UACGGGGGGGGCAAGCGUUGUUCGGAAUUACUGGGCGUAAAGGGCGCGUAGGCGGCCUGCUAAGUCACACGUGAAAUCCCUCGGCUCAACCGGGGAACUGCGUGUGAUACUGGCGGGCUUGAAUUCGGGAGAGGGAUGUGGAAUUCCAGGUGUAGCGGUGAAAUGCGUAGAUAUCUGGAGGAACACCGGUGGCGAAGGCGGCAUCCUGGACCGAGAUUGACGCUGAGGCGCGAAAGCAUGGGGAGCAAACAGG
rnacentral:rRNA from 1 species